rnacentral:rRNA from 1 species
AGAGUUUGAUCCUGGCUCAGAUUGAACGCUGGCGGAAUGCUUUACACAUGCAAGUCGAACGGAACUUAGGGGCUUGCUCCUAAGUUUAGUGGCGAACGGGCGAGUAACAUAUCGGAACGUAUCCAUUAAUGGGGGAUAACUAAUCGAAAGGUUGGCUAAUACCGCAUACGCCCUACGGGGGAAAGCAGGGGAUCUUCGGACCUUGCGUUAAUGGAGCGGCCGAUAUCUGAUUAGCUAGUUGGUGAGGUAAAGGCUCACCAAGGCGACGAUCAGUAGCUGGUCUGAGAGGACGACCAGCCACACUGGAACUGAGACACGGUCCAGACUCCUACGGGAGGCAGCAGUGGGGAAUUUUGGACAAUGGGCGAAAGCCUGAUCCAGCCAUUCCGCGUGAGUGAAGAAGGCCUUCGGGUUGUAAAGCUCUUUCGCAAGGGAAGAAAACUUAUAUUCUAAUAAAGUAUGAGGAUGACGGUACCUUGAUAAGAAGCACCGGCUAACUACGUGCCAGCAGCCGCGGUAAUACGUAGGGUGCGAGCGUUAAUCGGAAUUACUGGGCGUAAAGCGUGCGCAGGCGGUUUUGAAAGUCAGAUGUGAAAUCUCCGAGCUCAACUUGGGAACUGCGUUUGAAACUCCAAAGCUAGAGUAUAGGAGAGGGGGGUAGAAUUCCACGUGUAGCAGUGAAAUGCGUAGAGAUGUGGAGGAAUACCAAUGGCGAAAGCACCCCCCUUGCCUUAAUACUUGACCCCAUGCACGAAAAACCGUGGGGGAGCAAAAAAGGAAUUAAAUACCCCUGGUAUUCCACGCCCUAAACGAUGUCUACUAGUUGUUGGUGGAGGAAAAUCCAUUAGUAACGCAGCUAACGCGUGAAGUAGCCGCCCUGGGGAGUACGGUCGCAAGAUUAAAACUCAAAUGAAUUGACGGGGGCCCGCACAAGCGGUGGAUUAUGUGGAUUAAUUCGAUGCAACGCGAAAAACCUUACCUGGCCUUGACAUGCCACUAACGAAGCAGAGAUGCAUUAGGUGCUCGAAAGAGAAAGUGGACACAGGUGCUGCAUGGCUGUCGUCAGCUCGUGUCGUGAGAUGUUGGGUUAAGUCCCGCAACGAGCGCAACCCUUGUCGUUAAUUGCCAUCAUUUAGUUGGGCACUUUAACGAGACUGCCGGUGACAAACCGGAGGAAGGUGGGGAUGACGUCAAGUCCUCAUGGCCCUUAUGGCCAGGGCUUCACACGUAAUACAAUGGUCGGUACAGAGGGUUGCCAACCCGCGAGGGGGAGCCAAUCCCAGAAAGCCGAUCGUAGUCCGGAUUGCAGUCUGCAACUCGACUGCAUGAAGUCGGAAUCGCUAGUAAUCGCGGAUCAGCAUGUCGCGGUGAAUACGUUCCCGGGCCUUGUACACACCGCCCGUCACACCAUGGGAGUGGGUUUCACCAGAAGUAGGUAGUCUAACCGCAAGGGGGACGCUUACCACGGUGGGAUUCAUGACUGGGGUGAAGUCGUAACAAGGUAACCA